rnacentral:rRNA from 1 species
UACAGAGGGUGCGAGCGUUGUCCGGAAUCACUGGGCGUAAAGGGCGCGUAGGUGGUGGCUUAAGCGUGCGGUGAAAGCUCGGGGCUCAACUCCGAGUCGGCCGUGCGAACUGGGCUCACUGGAGCAUAGUAGAGGCAGGUGGAAUUCCUGGUGUAGCGGUGGAAUGCGUAGAGAUCCGGAAGAACACCGGUGGCGAAGGCGGCCUGCUGGGCUAUGGCUGACACUGAGGCGCGACAGCGUGGGGAGCAAACAGG